UACCUAACCAUCCAUCACUGUUGCAGAUGC
rnacentral:piRNA from 1 species